GACGAACGCUGGCGGCGUGCUUAACACAUGCAAGUCGAACGGAAAGGCCCUGCUUUUGUGGGGUGCUCGAGUGGCGAACGGGUGAGUAACACGUGAGUAACCUGCCCUUGACUUUGGGAUAACUUCAGGAAACUGGGGCGAAUACCGGAUAGGAGCUCCUGCUGCAUGGUGGGGGUUGGAAAGUUUCGGCGGUUGGGGAUGGACUCGCGGCUUAUCAGCUUGUUGGUGGGGUAGUGGCUUACAAAGGCUUUGACGGGUAGCCGGCCUGAGAGGGUGACCGGCCACAUUGGGCCUGAGAUACGGCCCAGACGCCUACGGGCGGCAGCAGUGGGGAAUAUUGCACAAUGGGCGGAAGCCUGAUGCAGCAACGCCGCGUGCGGGAUGACGGCCUUCGGGUUGUAAACCGCUUUCGCCUGUGACGAAGAGUGAGUGACGGUAAUGGGUCAAGAAGCCCCGGCUAACUACGUG
rnacentral:rRNA from 1 species